rnacentral:rRNA from 1 species
GACGAACGCUGGCGGCGUGCCUAAUACAUGCAAGUCGAGCGCAGCGACGGAUGGGUGAGUAACGCGUGGGUAACCUGUCAUUAAGUCUGGAAUACCAUUUGGAAACAGAUGCUCAUAACGAAUACUAAAGGAUGGACCUGCGAUGCAUUAGCUAGUUGGUAAGGUACGGGCCUACAAAGGCGAUGAUGCAUAUCGGAGUUGAGAGAGUGAGCGGCCACAUUGGGACUGAGACACGGCCCAGACUCCUACGGGAGGCAGCAGUAGGGAAUCUUCAACAAUGGACGAAAGUCUGAUGGAGCAACGCCGCGUGAGUGAAGAAGGUUUUCGGAUCGUAAAGCUCUGUUGUUGGAGAAGCGGUAAUCAACCAGAAAGUCACGGCUAACUACGUGCCAGCAGCCGCGGUAAUAC